UAAUAGUUUUAUUAGUUCUAAAAAAUUAAUUAUUUGUAAUGAUUAUAUGAAUUUAUUUAAAAUUUAAUAUUUCAGUAAUAAGUUUUUUAAUUUUAUUUAAUUUUUAUUAAGCUAUAUAUUAAUUUUGGAAAUAAAUUGUGCCAGCAUUCGCGGUUACACAAUUCAAAAAAAUUAAUUUUGUUAGUUUUAAUUUUAAGUUUAUACGAAUAUAAUUUUAUUUUAUUUAGGUGGAAUUUUUAAUUUUAUUUAUUUUCUUAUAUUUAAUUGUUAAUAAAUCUUUAUUUAAAAUUAGGAUUAGAUACCCUAUUAUUAAUUGAUUUAAUAUUUUUAUACUAUAACAUUAAUAGUUUAUUUUCUAUCAAAUUUAAAUAAUUUGGCGGUAACUUAUUAUUAGGGGAACCUGUACUUUAAUUGAUAAACCACGAUAUAUUUUACUUUAAUUAUUAUAUUUGUAUAUCUCUAUAUUUGGGGUAUUUUUACAGAAAUACCUUUUUUCUGUUUAAGUUUCAUAUUAGGUCAAGGUGCAGUUAUUAUUAAAGUAAAUAUGGGUUACUUUAAUUUUAAAUAAUUUGGAUAGUUAUUUUUUAUUUAAGUUGAAAUAGGAUUUAAUAGUAAUUUAAAGCUAUUUCUUUAUUUGAAUUUAAAUUUAAGUUAUGCACAUAUUGCCCGUCGCUCUCAUUUAAAUUGGGAUAAGUCGUAACAAAGUAAUUGUACUGGAAAGUGUAAUUAGAUUA
rnacentral:ncRNA from 2 species